rnacentral:rRNA from 1 species
UACGGAGGGAGCUAGCGUUGUUCGGAAUUACUGGGCGUAAAGCGCACGUAGGCGGAUUGGUCAGUUAGGGGUGAAAUCCCAGGGCUCAACCCUGGAACUGCCUUUAAUACUGCCGGUCUAGAGUUCGAGAGAGGUGAGUGGAAUUCCGAGUGUAGAGGUGAAAUUCGUAGAUAUUCGGAGGAACACCAGUGGCGAAGGCGGCUCACUGGCUCGAUACUGACGCUGAGGUGCGAAAGCGUGGGGAGCAAACAGG